rnacentral:rRNA from 1 species
AACGAACGCUGGCGGCAGGCUUAACACAUGCAAGUCGAGCGCCCCGCAAGGGGAGCGGCAGACGGGCGAGUAACGCGUGGGAAUCUACCCAUCUCUACGGAAUAACGCAUGGAAACGUGUGCUAAUACCGUAUACGUCCUUCGGGAGAAAGAUUUAUCGGAGAUGGAUGAGCCCGCGUUGGAUUAGCUAGUUGGUGGGGUAAAGGCCUACCAAGGCGACGAUCCAUAGCUGGUCUGAGAGGAUGAUCAGCCACACUGGGAUUGAGACACGGCCCAGACUCCUACGGGAGGCAGCAGUGGGGAAUAUUGGACAAUGGGCGCAAGCCUGAUCCAGCCAUGCCGCGUGAGUGGUGAAGGCCCUAGGGUUGUAAAGCUCUUUCACCGGUGAAGAUAAUGACGGUAACCGGAGAAGAAGCCCCGGCUAACUUCGUGCCAGCCGCCGCGGUAACAC